CAGAAGUUGCAACCACGCCAGGCCAAACCCGUGGAGCCUCCCAGGAGCAGCUACAGCGAGCUGGACAGCAAGAUCCUGCAGUUGUGCGGGGAACUGUACGAUCUGGAUGCAGCCUCCCUCCAGCUCAAAGUCAUUAAUUACCUGAAGCAGGAGACCCAGUCUCAAUGUUGCUGUCUUCUCUUGGUCUCAGAGGACAACAAUCAACUCUUC